rnacentral:rRNA from 1 species
AGGGAAUCUUCCACAAUGGACGCAAGUCUGAUGGAGCAACGCCGCGUGAGUGAAGAAGGUCUUCGGAUCGUAAAGCUCUGUUGUUGGUGAAGAAGGACAGGAAAAGCAACUGUUUUCUGUUUGACGGUAAUCAUCCAGAAAGUCACGGCUAACUACGUGCCAGCAGCCGCGGUAAUACGUAGGUGGCAAGCGUUGUCCGGAUUUAUUGGGCGUAAAGCGAGCGCAGGCGGAGAAAUAAGUCUGAUGUGAAAGCCCUCGGCUUAACCGGUGAGCUGCAUUUGAAACUGUAUAUCUUGAGUGCAGAAGAGGAGAGUGGAACUCCAUGUGUAGCGGUGGAAUGCGUAGAUAUAUGGAAGAACACCAGUGGCGAAGGCGGCUCUCUGGUCUGCAACUGACGCUGAGGCUCGAAAGCAUGGGUAGCGAACA